GGGGCAUAAUUAAUGACUUUAUAGUAUCCUAUCAUGGCACGAAAUGGAGCACUUAGGAUAUGACUUCAGGAUGAUGCGACUUGAUGUGACUCAAUAUGACCGUCUACUGUUUGAUCGAUGUCGAUAUCCAGAUCAGUCACUAGCCGGAGCAAGGUAAAAUUGAUUGAAAGUGGUUUGGGAUGAGUGACCUGUAUGCCAGCGGUCC
rnacentral:lncRNA from 1 species